rnacentral:rRNA from 1 species
UAAACAAAGGGAUGCGAAGGCGCGAGCCGGAGCGAACCCCAGAAACAAACGUCCCAGUUCGGACUGCAGCCUGCAACCCGGCUGCACGAAGCUGGAAUCGCUAGUAAUCGCGGAUCAGCAUGCCGCGGUGAAUACGUUCCCGGGUCUUGUACACACCGCCCGUCACACCAUGGGAGCCGGAAAUGCCCGAAGCCUGUGACCCAACCUUUAUAGGAGGGAGCAGCCUAAGGCGGGGCCGGUAACUGGGGUGAAGUCGUAACAAGGUAAC